rnacentral:rRNA from 1 species
UGCCAGCCGCCGCGGUAAUACGGAGGGGGUUAGCGUUGUUCGGAAUUACUGGGCGUAAAGCGCGCGUAGGCGGAUUGUUAAGUCGGGGGUGAAAUCCCGGGGCUCAACCCCGGAACUGCCUCCGAUACUGGCAAUCUAGAGGUCGAGAGAGGCGAGUGGAAUACCGAGUGUAGAGGUGAAAUUCGUAGAUAUUCGGUGGAACACCAGUGGCGAAGGCGGCUCCCUGGCCAAAGACUGACGCUCAUGUGCGAAAGUGUGGGUAGCGAACAGGAUUAGAUA